AUGGGAAAUCUGCAGUUUGCCAUAAAGUGGAGACACAAGUGGUUUGUAUUUGUUAGAGGACUAAAUUUUUCUUUCACAUUUUCUUUAACAUGUUGUGAAGAGCAUAGAGUAAAGAAUAUUAUAGUUCCAAAGAAAAAGUUGAAGAUCACCAAGGAGAAGUACAAGAUGAGUGAGAACAAGUUGCAAUAUAUUACUAUGGGAGAAUUGAGCAAUAUAAGCAGCAGGGCAAAAAAAUCAUCAGAGAGAUGUAUGACCAGGGAAAAAAAGAUGGAUCUGUCACAUGGUUUGGAUCAUCACAGGAUCUAUUGCAGGAGUUUAGAGUUAAAAGGAAUCUUAACAGACAUCUAGUCCAGCCAUCUCAAGGUAGUUUAUUCCACUUCUAGAUAGCUAUAAUUAUUAAAAAGACAUAAAGCCUAAAUUUAUCCCUUGGCUAUUCCCACAUGUAGCCCCCCCAGUUCUGCUCUCUGGAUCCCAACAAAGCAAGUCUAAUACCUUCCAUUUGACAAACCUUUAAAUUCUUGAUAACAACUAUCAUUUAGUUUCUUCUUUCCUUUUACCCACAGCCCUUGGUUUUUCUUUUUCCAGAUAAAUAUCUCCACUUCCUUCAAAUGUCCAUAGAACAUUCAUUUGCAAUGGACUCAUCAUCUUGCCUUCCAAAGAAGCUGCUUCUCUCAUACUUCCCCAUUUCUUUCAAUGCCAGUUUUCUUCCUCCCAAACAGUAAGACUGUGAUCAUUUCUUUCCUUUUUCUUUCACUGCUCCUAUAUGUAAAAUUAAAGUGACCUUUGACCAAGGCAGAAGUUAUUGGGAAUAAUGAAAUAAGAAUAAGACUAGAAGAGAAGCAAGGACUCUCUCUUCUGACUUGGAGAUUGAUCUCUGGAAUUUGAGUGCUCUAAAACCUUGGUCUAUCUUUCCUUCCCUCCUGUUCUUCCCUCCUUCCUUCUUUUCUUUUUUUCCUUCCCUUCUUAUUUCUCUUUUUUCUUCUUUCUUUCCUUCUUUUUCUUUCUCUCUGUCUUUGUCACUGUCUCUCAGGAUCUCUAUCUCUGUCUGGGUCUCCCUCCCUCUCUUCUAUCAUUCCCCACCCACCCACUUUAUUCACAGCUCAAGCCUUUUUCCUGAAACAGAAUUUUCUUCUUCUCUCUCUCUUUAUGGCUUGGGUCCUUGGUACUUCUCUAACCUUUUAAAGUAGCAUUUGAAUAGUUCGCUGAGAUGUAAAAUCAAAUUACAUUUCAUUUUAUACAUGUGUUUGCAUGAAAGAUUUUGAGAAUUUUGGUUUGAGAGUUGAAUUCCCCAUGCAAAAAAAGCCAUUUGCUCAAUUAGUAUUUGUUUUUCAUCUAACCUUUCAUCAAGGUAAUCAAUGUGUAUUUUAGUCCAGUGUGUUCAAUAAAUACACACCCUUGUUUCCA
rnacentral:lncRNA from 1 species